rnacentral:rRNA from 1 species
AGUGAACGCUGGCGGUAGGCCUAACACAUGCAAGUCGAACGGCAGCACAGUAAGAGCUUGCUCUUACGGGUGGCGAGUGGCGGACGGGUGAGGAAUACAUCGGAAUCUACUUUUUCGUGGGGGAUAACGUAGGGAAACUUACGCUAAUACCGCAUACGACCUACGGGUGAAAGCAGGGGAUCUUCGGACCUUGCGCGAUUGAAUGAGCCGAUGUCGGAUUAGCUAGUUGGCGGGGUAAAGGCCCACCAAGGCGACGAUCCGUAGCUGGUCUGAGAGGAUGAUCCGCCCAACUGGAACUUAGACACGGUCCCGACUCCUGCGGGAGGCGGCAGUGGGGAAUAUUGGACAAUGGGCGCAAGCCUGAUCCAGCCAUACCGCGUGGGUGAAGAAGGCCUUCGGGUUGUAAAGCCCUUUUGUUGGGAAAGAAAAGCAGCAGGUUAAUACCCCGCUGUUCUGACGGUACCCAAAGAAUAAGCACCGGCUAACUUCGUG